CAGCCGUAAACAAUGUGCGUUAGGUGUGUCGGUAACCACGUGUUACUGAUGCGCCGAAGAGAAAUCGUGAAACGCACCACCUGGGAAGUACGGUCGCAAGGCUGAAACUUAAAGGAAUAGGCGGGGGAGCACCACAACAGGUGGAGUCUGCGGUUUAAUUGGAUUCAACGCCGGACAUCUCACCGGAUAAGACAGCGGAAUGAUUGCCGGGCUGAAGACUCUGCAUGACUAGCUGAGAGGAGGUGCAUGGC
rnacentral:rRNA from 1 species